rnacentral:rRNA from 1 species
AGCAGUCGCCGCGGUAAUACGGAGGGUGCAAGCGUUAAUCGGAAUUACUGGGCGUAAAGCGCACGCAGGCGGUCUGUCAAGUCAGAUGUGAAAUCCCCGGGCUUAACCUGGGAACUGCAUUUGAAACUGGCAGGCUAGAGUCUUGUAGAGGGGGGUAGAAUUCCAGGUGUAGCGGUGAAAUGCGUAGAGAUCUGGAGGAAUACCGGUGGCGAAGGCGGCCAUCUGGGACAACACUGACGCUGAGGCACGAAAGCGUGGGGAGCAAACAGGAUUAGAUACCCCUGUAGUCCCUGUCUCUUAUAC